rnacentral:rRNA from 1 species
CCUACGGGCGGCAGCAGUGGGGAAUAUUGCACAAUGGGCGCAAGCCUGAUGCAGCCAUGCCGCGUGUGUGAAGAAGGCCUUCGGGAUGUAAAGCACUUUCAGCGGGGAGGAAGGCGGUGAGGUUAAUAACCUCAUCGAUUGACGUUACCCGCAGAAGAAGCACCGGCUAACUCCGUGCCAGCAGCCGCGGUAAUACGGAGGGUGCAAGCGUUAAUCGGAAUUACUGGGCGUAAAGCGCACGCAGGCGGUCUGUCAAGUCGGAUGUGAAAUCCCCGGGCUCAACCUGGGAACUGCAUUCGAAACUGGCAGGCUAGAGUCUUGUAGAGGGGGGUAGAAUUCCAGGUGUAGCGGUGAAAUGCGUAGAGAUCUGGAGGAAUACCGGUGGCGAAGGCGGCCCCCUGGACAAAGACUGACGCUCAGGUGCGAAAGCGUGGGGAGCAAACAGGAUUAGAUACCCCAGUAGUC